rnacentral:rRNA from 1 species
UACGUAGGGGGCAAGCGUUGUCCGGAAUCAUUGGGCGUAAAGAGCGUGUAGGUGGCCCGGUCAGUCCGCCGUGAAAGUCCAGGGCUCAACCCUGGAAUGCCGGUGGAUACUGCCGGGCUGGAGUCCGGAAGAGGCGAGUGGAAUUCCCCGGUGUAGCGGUGAAAUGCGCAGAUAUCGGGAGGAACACCAAUGGCGAAGGCAGCUCGCUGGGACGUGACUGA